rnacentral:rRNA from 1 species
GACAACAGACGGAAACGACUGCUAAUACCGAAUGUGGACGCAUGAUGAAAGUGGCCUUUUUUAGCUAUCGCCUGAAGAGGGGUUUGCGUCUGAUUAGGCAGUUGGUGAGGUAACGGCCCACCAAACCUACGAUCAGUAGCCGGGCUGAGAGGAUGAACGGCCACACUGGAACUGAGACACGGUCCAGACUCCUACGGGAGGCAGCAGUGGGGAAUCUUCCGCAAUGGACGAAAGUCUGACGGAGCAACGCCGCGUGAGUGAUGACGGCCUUCGGGUUGUAAAGCUCUGUGAUCGGAGACGAAGGCUGGUAUGCUAAUA